CAGUAGCCGCGGGAACACGUAGGUGGCAAGCGUUGUCCGGAAUUAUUGGGCGUAAAGCGCGCGCAGGCGGAUAGGUCAGUCUGUCUUAAAAGUUCGGGGCUUAACCCCGUGAUGGGAUGGAAACUGCCAAUCUAGAGUAUCGGAGAGGAAAGUGGAAUUCCUAGUGUAGCGGUGAAAUGCGUAGAUAUUAGGAAGAACACCAGUGGCGAAGGCGACUUUCUGGACGAAAACUGACGCUGAGGCGCGAAAGCCAGGGGAGCGAACGGGAUUAGAUACCCCCGUAGUCCCUGUCUCUUAUACA
rnacentral:rRNA from 1 species